GGUGGAUGCUGUAGUACCAUAUGUGCAGCUUCCUCAUCCAGCACACAGACGGGCCAGGCAGCCCCAGAGCAGCACUGUGCCACCACCCCAGGGCUGUGACAGCAGGCUGUCACCCAUCAGAGGUCCCCAGGCUGUCACCCAUCAGAGGUCCCCAGGAGCAUCGAGCCUCCUCCAUGGCCAGAAGUGGCACUGGGGCUGAGUGGGCCAAAGUCACACAGUGGAACAGCACCUGAACUCUAUGUGCAGUGGAAUGGAAACUCUCCCCUGUGUUUUGGGGGGUCUGUGCUCGCCAGAAAUUACCAAGAGGGCACUCUAAGCUUGAAGAGCCUGUAAAAUUUUGUGUUCUUCUGGUUUUACAAACUCUGGCAGCUCAAGCAGACCCUGCGACUGCCACUCCUCCCCUGGGUCACCCACAGGCCUCCUGGAGGGCCCGCAGCUCCCCAGCCACCAGCCCUGCUCCAGAAUCAGCUGCACGAGUACCAGAGGGACCCCAGUGCCACACGGCAGUGCCAGAUCACUACCACCACAAGCUGUCCCCAGGCAGCAAAGCCCUCAGCCAGCCCAGCUGGCCCAGGGCCGUGCCAGCCGCUCAGGGCACCCUGCCCAAGAGCAGAGGCCUGAGGGGCCCUGGGCCGUGGGGCGGUGGGAUGCACGGCGCUCCGCCAGGAGACUCAGAUCCAGCCCCGAAAUCCCUGAGGGAGAGGAUGCGAAGGGCAGCAAGCGACCUCUGCUGAGGAGGGACCGGAGCGGCACCGGCAGGGGACAGGCCAGCCAGGACCCCCGCAAAAGGCGCUCCUGCCCAGGCACCGGGGGCAGAUUGAGCACUGCCCGGCUCGGAGCCCACGGCAGGGCUGUGCCAGCCGGGGACACCCCGAGGCAGAGCCGGGCACGGGUCCCCGGCAGGCCGGGAGCCACGCUGCCUGCCCCCGGUCCCUCCUGAGCCGCGCUGACAGGGCUGGGAUCUGUCCCCAGGCAGCACACCGGGCACAUCGCUGUCCUCACGGACCGCGCCGAGCCCCGGCCCGGCCGAGCAGCUGGUGCCCUGUCAGGGGCUGUGCCUGGGGCCAAGUGUCGCUCCAGAGCCGUCCCUUCGCUGUGACACGCUGCUGGUUCAAAGGAACCUUUAUCUGUCGGGUCCCCUUGGGGCUGCUCCCCUUCUGACGCCAGCCACCCUUGCACGGUGCCAGGCGGCUCUCCCAGACCAUUCCCAGCACUAAAAAGGUAUAACUGGGAGAUGCUGCAGUUACCAGGGGCUCCAGACACGCCACAGCCACAUCUACGCCAAAAAAAAAAAAAAAAAAAAAAAAAAAAAAAAAAAAAAAAAAAAAAAAAUCCCAAAGAAAACCCCCACACCGCAAGAACCCCAAAGCGCUGAGAUUCAGCCCUUGUGAGUAUAUAAACACACAGAAAACUUGUCAAGCAGAGCAGCUGCAGCCCCUGGGAUGGGAUCUGGGCUCUCCAUGUAACUUCACACACAGGCUGAGCCUCCAAGGGAGCUGCACAUUCACCCUCCUCCGGCCCUGGGGAAGGGGCGGCAGCGGGAUGACCCCGGCGGUGGAGGGGGGCUGCCCCCAAAUCCCCCGGCCCCGGUCCCCCUCUUUCCCCCAUCUCCCAGCCCAGCCGGGCAGAGGGAUCCUGUACACAACUUUUUCAAACUGCCAGGCAGAAGAAUCCCAGCCUUUCCAAGGGAGUGUCGGUAAAUCAUCAGUACAUCCGACAACGCAGCCAGCGGGAUUAACCCUUUGCGGGAUCCCGGGAAAAUAACAACAACAACAACAAAACCACCACCAACAACGCGCUUAACAACGAAAACAGCAAAAUUUGGCCCCAGCUGUGGGAGAAGGGGGACGGGCAGCGUGUGCGCCGGGAUCCUUUCACACACGGGCGGAGAGGGAGCAGCGUUUUGUGUGUGCCGAGCACAUGAAGAGGAGCUGCCGCCGCGCACCUCCGCCGUGCCCAUCCCUCGGGGCUCCCCCACCUCAAGAAGCACGACCCAGAUGUGCCUCCCACCCCCCAAGGAUCUCUCCUCUGGACUUAGAGAGAAGAGGAAAAGGCAGAUUUUGAGAAAUGAAAAUUAUUUAAGGAUGUCCUUACUGCCUCUCUCUGCUGCCCUCCUCUGUAAUAGCGAAGCAUUUACGAGAAAUUAUACAAAAUAAAUAAAUAAUUUGG